UACGUAGGUGGCAAGCGUUGUCCGGAUUUACUGGGUGUAAAGGGCGUGCAGCCGGGCUGACAAGUCAGAUGUGAAAUCCCGCGGCUCAACCGCGGAACUGCAUUUGAAACUGUCAGUCUUGAGUACCGGAGAGGUCAUCGGAAUUCCUUGUGUAGCGGUGAAAUGCGUAGAUAUUAGGAGGAACACCAGUGGCGAAGGCGGCCUGCUGGACCGUGACUGACGUUGAGGCUCGAGAGCGUGGGGAGCAAACAGG
rnacentral:rRNA from 1 species